CCGGCGUCUAAGGUAGACUCCCACUAUAUUACCUAAUACCUUACUGAUGAGUCCAGUAGUGGAAGCCGGGACGAAACGCCAA
rnacentral:hammerhead_ribozyme from 15 species